rfam:Triticum aestivum genome assembly, contig: Triticum_aestivum_CS42_TGACv1_scaffold_472166_6AL
GAUAUACUCCCUCCGUUCGAAAUUACUUAACCCAUAUUUAUUUAGAUACGAAUGUAUCUAGGCACUAAACAAGUAUAGAUACAUCCGUAUUUAGACAAAUCCAAGUCAACUAAUUUAGAACGGAGGGAGUAGUUG